rnacentral:misc_RNA from 1 species
GAUGAAGAACGUAGCGAAAUGCGAUAAGUAAUGCGAAUUGCAGAAUUCAGUGAGUCAUCGAAUCUUUGAACGCACAUUGCGCCCCUUGGUAUCCCGAGGGGCAUGCCUGUUCGAGCGUCAUUUCACCACUCAAGCCUGGCUUGGUGUUGGGCGACGUCCUCUUUGGGGACGCGCCUCGAAACGCUCGGCGGCGUGGCACCGGCUUUAAGCGUAGCAGAAUCUUUCGCUUUGGAAGUCGGGGCCCCGUCUGCCGGAAGACCUGCUCGCAAGGUUGACCUCGGAUCAGGCAGGGAUACCCGCUGAACUUAAGCAUAUCAAUAAGCGGAGGA